CACAGUACCGCAUGGUACAGGGUGAAAAGAUUUAUCACUGUAAGAUGGACCCGCGUCUGAUUAGCCAGUUGGCAGGGUAACGGCCGUACCAAAGCGACGAUCAGUAGCCGACCUGAGAGGGUGAUCGGCCACAUUGGGACUGAGACACGGGCCCAAAACGUCCCUACGGGAGGCAGCAGUGGGGGAUAUUGGCACAAUGGAGGAAACUCUGAUGCAGCGACGCCGCGUGAGUGAAGAAGUAUUUCGGUAUGUAAAGCUCUAUUCAGCAGGGAAGAUAAUGACAGUACCUGACCAAGAAGCCCCGGCUAACUACGUGCC
rnacentral:rRNA from 1 species